CUGUGACAAGCCUAAAAAAGAGGAGAAUAACUCAUCCUAUCAGUGAGACCAAGAAAUAAGGAAAUGGAGAUCCAAACCUGUGAGGUGAUUUAUUCAAGGCCACAGAAGCAUCCAGUAACAGAGCAGGGAUUUAAACCCAGACUGCAAUUCCAGUUCCUUUUCCACUAUAUCCCAGAUCCUGUUCUUGAGAUGCUACAGAUGACCCCAAAAGCUAUUCUCUUUUUUUCUUUAUCAAGUUACACAGCAGAGGCUAAAGGAAGAAUGAGAUAUAAUGACUGUCCAAUUUUAGUGAAUAAAUGAGCAUGUGUCAUUGCUCUAAGCCAUUCAUCUUGAGGAGGUGAGGCUUUAAGUGCAAAACAGAGUCCAAACUGAAGAGGGAUUCUCAAUGGAUGGAAAGUUCUUGCAGAUGCUCUUCUUUGAGGAUGAUGUUAUAGCUGCCUCAUCAAACCCUAGGACAUUUCAGAACCAACUAGAAAAGACCCAGAACCAAUGAAAGGAGUGUGGUCUGACUAUCCACACAGGAAAGACC